AGAGACCGAUAGAAUAAGUACUAGGCUUACAAAGAAUAAGUCCUGGGGGUCGAUUUGCUCAACUAAAAGGUGAUGCUCCAGCAUGGCCGCAGUCAAAUGACUGAAACAAGUAAAAGAGUAAAGAAAGUAGUUCAUUACUCCGAGAUUUCUAUGAUGUGGUUAUUUAUUUUUAGAAUGACAUUGUAGGGUAAGUGUGAGAUAUCAGAUCUGGCAGAUGGAAUAUUUGGACCAGAGAGACAUGGCCAGUUUAAAUGCUAAAGGAUUAACCAUUAAGCAUCCGGAUUAUUCUGUGAAAUGUAAUAAUUUUUUAAUCCACAUCGUUCUGUAUUAAUCAUGAAUUAUCUUAUAGCCUUGAGAUUAUUUUUAGAAUGACAUUGUAGGGUAGGUGUGACAGGCUAGAUCUGGGCUGGUCUGAACAUAAAAGCAGGUAGAAUAUUUGGGCCAGCUUAAAUGCCAAGGGGCCAACUGUUUAGCAUUCAAAUUACGCUAUCAAAUGUAAUCCAUUUUUAUUCCCAUUGCUUUGAAUUAAUCAGGGAUUAUCUCAUAGCUCCGAGAUUUCAAUGAUAUUGAUUGUUUAUUUUUAGAAUGACAUUGUAGGGUAGGUGUGACAGGCUAGAUCUGGGCUGGUCUGAACAUAAAAGCAGGUAGAAUAUUUGGGCCAGUUUAAACGCCAAGGGGCCAACUGUUUAGCAUUCAAAUUACACUAUCAGACGUAAUCCAUUUUUAUUCCCAUUGCUUUGAAUUAAUCAGGGAUUAUCUCAUAGCUCCGAGAUUUCAAUGAUAUUGAUUGUUUAUUUUUAGAAUGACAUUGUAGGGUAGGUGUGACAGACUAGAUCUGGGCUGGUCUGAACAUAAAAGCAGGUAGAAUAUGGGCCAGCUUAAAUGCCAAGGGCCAACUGUUUAGCAUUCAAAUUACGCUAUCAAAUGUAAUCCAUUUUAUUCCAUUGCUUUGAAUUAUAAUCAGGAUUAUCUCAUAGGUCCGAGAUUUCAAUGAUUUGAUUGUUUAUUUUUAGAAAUGACAUUGUAGGGUAGGUGUGAGCAGUUUGAUCUGGCUGGCCCUGAAACAUAAGUGUGACCAGUUUAAAUAUGGUCAGCUAAAGGGUUAAAACAAGGCAUUUGUAUUAUAGAACCGGGAGCAGUUUCAGGUGUGUAGGGAUCAAAAGGGUUAAAACCAAUCAAGUUUUGGGUCUCAAAAAGACAAGAAUAGGAAGAACCGUUCUCACGGAAUUGUUUUCUUGUUUUCUAUUUUUGUAAAUAAUUAAGUUUGAAAAUACAACACCUUAACAACCA